AUUGAACGCUGGCGGCAGGCCUAACACAUGCAAGUCGAGCGGAGGAAGGGAGCUUGCUCCUGGAUUCAGCGGCGGACGGGUGAGUAAUGCCUAGGAAUCUGCCUGGCAGUGGGGGAUAACGUCCGGAAACGGGCGCUAAUACCGCAUACGGCCUGAGGGAGAAAGUGGGGGAUGUUCGGACCUGACGCUAUCAGAUGAGCCUAGGGCGGCUUAGCUAGUUGGUGGGGUAAAGGCCUACCAAGGCGACGAUCCGUGACUGGUCUGAGAGGAUGAUCAGUCACCCUGGUACUGCGACACGGUCCAGCCUCCUACGGGAGGCAGCAGUGGGGAAUAUUGGACCAUGGGCGGAGGCAUGCUCCAGCCGCGCCGCGUGUGUGGAGAAGGUCUUCGGAUUGUAAAGAACUUUAAGUUGGGAGGAAGGGCACUAAGUUAAUACCUUGCUGUUUUGACGUUACCUACAGAAUAAGCACCGGCUAACUUCGUG
rnacentral:rRNA from 1 species